UUUUUAAGAUUGUUGAAAUUUUGCUAGAUGUCUGCAAAAAUAUUAUUUUUUUUACAACUAAAGAACUUGACGCUGGUUUCGAUGCUCAUUUUCAAGCGUAUGAAAUUCAUAAUGAUUUUAUAAAUUGGCAUCUCAUUUAUUUGGAUCAAGCUGAUGGCACGUGUUCACUAACACAUCAGCCUAAUGGCAAAAAAUAUAUUUGUUACCGACCAUAAGCUAUAUUUUUAAUUUAUUUUUUAUUAUUUCUUAAUAUUAAGUUUAAAGUAAAAAUCAUGUUUUUGCAUUUUAAAUACAACAUUAAUAACUUGUACUUACGAUCAUUUUUAUUCAACGGAAACCUUGUAUUUUCAGAUUCGCAGCGCUUUACUACAAUACGAAACUGUAAUAAAUACUCUACAUGAGUUCAAUUUUUCAACUGCUCUUUUUUCCGUCAUAAGUCAGUGGGUCCUGAUUUUCUAUAGAUUUUCUUAGACGUUGAUCCUCCAGCUAAAACUACUGUCUCUAUCAAAUUCUCGAGUCUUUGGAGACAUCAGAGAAGUCGUUUGGAAGAACGCUAGCAUGUGAACUUACUGUAUAUUGAUGUUCAGUCACGAGCUUAAUCAUUUUGAAAAGCUUCGUGUACUUUCGCUACGUACGGGAGCAGCCGAACUCGCUACUGACUUGAAUGUCAGAAUAGUGCCGGGUCACUCGCUAUCUGGGCCCGACACCUGCAAUUUCUUGCUCAUAACCGUGCCACGUCGGCAUGAGAACCCGCUACCAGCCGGCCAAUCAGAGAAAUUGGCGGCUAACUAUUUCCUGUUGGCGCGCUUUUAAGCCAAUGGGAAAAUUCGUUACUGCAGCCAUGCUGCCACGUCACCACCGAGCAGCCACGAAGGAAGAAGACGACGUCUCUAUUUCCAAUCUACAUCGGGCAGUCUUACUAACCGCCACGCGUUUUUAACCGCUUUACUUGUCGCAUUCGCUAUCGCUUAUCUAUGUAGUUGCAUUCGCUCUUAAGUAUUUUUCUUACAGUUAUUCAGUGUACAUAUUGUUAAAUAAAGAUCUAUUCUAUUAUCUGUAAUUUUUGUGUUAAUUGUUAGUUAUUGAAUUUACCACACUUACACCAGAAUCCCAAAGUACAUUCGCUCAUUUAACAAUUGAUAAGAACGUCAUUGGUGUCAAAUCAAAAUUAAAAUCUAAAUUAGUGUAUGAGUUUUUUAAUUAAGGACAUUAUUACUUAUUUAUGUAUG